UAAUACAUUACCUGUAGAAGUAAUCCAUGAGUGACGGGAUCAGACGGCCGAAGAACCCAAAAGAUGAAGACAAAGACACCAAAGAUGAAGUGGCAGAGCAACCCCUGGACUCAGCUAUUUGUCCCAAAUUAUUGAGAAAUACGAAACCAAUUGUUGCACCAAAAAGAUAGAUAAAGAAGUAUAACCAGAAAUUCACUUUUCUAAGCAUUAAUUUCACUCCAAUUUCUUCCAUAACACUAAGCUCUGAAACUUCUCUACUAUGUUCACCAUCUUUCACCUCAUCCUCUGCCCUCUCUUCAUUAGUACCCUCCUCCAUAGUAAAAUGGUAGACUCUAAGUCUUUCUCUAUUUUUGUGCCAUGCCCCUGCUAGAUUCUUGAUCUUAAGUGAAGGUGGGACUAAUAGAGCGAAGAGAAGGGAAACUAUAAGACCAAUCAGGAUUCCCAGUGAGGAUAGUUUGCUUGUGACAAAUUGCAAGCUGCUCAUAACAGCAUAAAUUCCAGUGGCAAUUGUAAUAACAAACAUAACAGCAAAUCCAACACCUGUGUGCUUGGAGCUUGUAACUUCAAUUUCUCUGAGAAAAGGAGCUACUAUUAGGCUAACUACAAUUGGUAUUAGAGAGUUCAAUAAGAGAAAGUUUACAGCUUUUUUAUCUGGAGAAACAGCUUCAACAAUAUUGGUAUAGAUCUUUGCACUUAAUCCUUGGUAACUGGUUGUUAAUCCCACAGCAACUUUGCUAUCAGAUAGGAAGUUUCUUAUGGCAACAACAUAGCAAACUGUGUUAAUCCAACAAAUACUAUUUCCAGCUAGAAACGUUAGCAAGAAAACAUGCCAAUAAGACAGAGAGGCAAUGUGGUUAGUUAUAAAGAGAAAUUGCACUCCAUAGCCGAUUAACCCAAGAACCGAACCGAUUAUGAGGACAAGCCAGAGGGGGAGGUAAAGAGAAGCAAGGCCAGAAAACCAGCCAAGAAAUUUCCCUGCAUCAGAGGCAAAAGAAAGGUUAUUGAGCUGCACUUGAGAAAUAGAAAGAAGCUCCUUCAGCUGGGAAGAGUAAGCAGGAAAAUUGGUAUUUGUCCCAUUUAUGGCUUGGAGAAAUUUCCCUGCAUCAGAGGCAAAAGAAAGGUUAUUGAGCUGCACUUGAGAAAUAGAAAGAAGCUCCUUCAGCUGGGAAGAGUAAGCAGGAAAAUUGGUAUUUGUCCCAUUUAUGGCUUGGAGCCAAACAAUACCCACAAGGCUUAGCCAUUGAAGUGUAGUAGAAGACAUGGUGAUUGCAGAAGAAGCUUCAGAAAAAUUAAAAAAAUUAGAGUUAAACUUCUUAGCUUGGUUGAUGGGUAUGUAUAGAAGAGGUGGAUGGGGUAGAGUCCUCAGGUGUGAAAACCAAAGUCAGAAACAUGAUGGCACUUAAAAUGUACGAUAUGGUAAUGAAAAAUAGCCUAAUUGGACCAAAUACUAAAGCUUGAAAACAGAACUUCUAUGUUUCAAUUAAAGCAGUUAUGGAAAGUUAAAGGUUUUGCAAGAAAAUCUGAGAACAAAACCAGAUUCAUGAGGCCUUAAGGAGAUGGACAAAAAGUUAAACUAUCCAAGAGGGGAACAUUGCAUAGGAACUUUGUGGCUGUCGGUGAUAAACUUUAUAUAAUUCUCCAAGUAGAUCUAACUAACAACCAUUGUAACUAACUUCUCUAAAGUCUAAACAUUGAUCUAAUUAAUGUAGAACGAUGCCAUUGCGUGUGUUUCUUUUCUCUGGUAAUUAAGUCCUUGCU
rnacentral:lncRNA from 1 species